rnacentral:rRNA from 1 species
GAUGAACGCUAGCGACAGGCUUAACACAUGCAAGUCGAGGGGCAGCGGGGUCUUCGGACCGCCGGCGACCGGCGCACGGGUGCGUAACGCGUAUGCAACCUACCUUUCACAGGGGGAUAAUCCGGAGAAAUCUGGUCUAAUACCCCAUAACACAUUUUACGGCAUCGUAGAUUGUUGAAAUUUUCGGAGGUGAAAGAUGGGCAUGCGUGACAUUAGCUAGAUGGUGAGGUAACGGCUCACCAUGGCAACGAUGUCUAGGGGGACUGAGAGGUUAACCCCCCACACUGGUACUGAGACACGGACCAGACUCCUACGGGAGGCAGCAGUGAGGAAUAUUGGGCAAUGGGCGAAAGCCUGACCCAGCGACGCCGCGUGGAGGAAGAAGGUUUUCGGAUUGUAAACUCCUGUCUUCGGGGAAGAUAAUGACGGUACCCGAGGAGGAAGCCACGGCUAACUACGUGCCAGCAGCCGCCGUAAAAC